UUUUUCUAUUUUCAAAAUAUACUAAAAUUGGAAUGAUACAAAGAAGAAUAGUAUGGCCCCUGUGCAAGGAUGACAUGCAAAUUCAUGAAGCAUUCCAUAUUUUU
rnacentral:snRNA from 1 species